rnacentral:rRNA from 1 species
ACGCUCGACACCUACGGGGGGCAGCAGUGGGGAAUAUUGCACAAUGGGGGAAACCCUGAUGCAGUGACGCCGCGUGAGUGAAGAAGUAUUUCGGUAUGUAAAGCUCUAUCAGCAGGGAAGAAGAUGACGGUACCUGAGUAAGAAGCCCUGGCUAACUACGUACCAGCAGCCGCGGUAAUCUGAGCGGGCUGGCAAGGC